rnacentral:rRNA from 1 species
UAUGUAGGGGGCAAGCGUUGUCCGGAAUCAUUGGGCGUAAAGCGCGUGUAGGCGGUUCGGUAAGUCUGCUGUGAAAGUCCAGGGCUCAACCCUGGGAUGCCGGUGGAUACUGUCGGACUAGAGUACGGAAGAGGCGAGUGGAAUUCCCGGUGUAGCGGUGAAAUGCGCAGAUAUCGGGAGGAACACCAAUUGCGAAGGCAGCUCGCUGGGACGUUACUGACGCUGAGACGCGAAAGCGUGGGGAGCAAACAGG